rnacentral:rRNA from 1 species
CACGUAGGCACCAAGCGUUGUCCGGAUUUAUUGGGCGUAAAGAGCUCGUAGGCGGUUCAGUAAGUCGGGUGUGAAAACUCAGGGCUCAACCCUGAGCGGCCACCCGAUACUGCUGUGACUUGAGUCUGGUAGGGGAGUGGGGAAUUCCUGGUGUAGCGGUGAAAUGCGCAGAUAUCAGGAGGAACACCGGUGGCGAAGGCGCCACUCUGGGCCACGACUGACGCUGAGGAGCGAAAGCAUGGGUAGCAAACAGG